AAAAAGAGUCCUGAUCCCUGUGAUGAGGAUGGGAGUACAGAUAUAGAUGAUCAGAGUCCAGGAACAAGCUUGGUUAAGAGGCCCUCACAGAAGAAGAAAAGAGGAAAACGGACCAAGGCUAUGGGGGCAAUGGUUGGGCGUUCUGAGCUCUUCUCCCCCAAAAAGAGUCCUGAUCCCUGUGG